GGAAUAUUGGUCAAUGGGCGAAAGCCUGAACCAGCAAUGCCGCGUGAGUGAUGAAGGCCUUCGGGUUGUAAAGCUCUGUCAGUGGGGACGAAAAAAAUGACGGUACCCACAAAGGAAGCACCGGCUAACUCUGUGCCAGCAGCCGCGGUAAUACAGAGGGUGCAAGCGUUGUUCGGAAUUACUGGGCGUAAAGCGCGUGUAGGCGGUUUAAUAAGUCGGACGUGAAAUCCCUCGGCUCAACCGAGGAACUGCAUUCGAAACUGUUAAGCUUGAGUAUCGGAGGGGAUGGCGGAAUUCCCGGUGUAGAGGUGAAAUUCGUAGAUAUCGGGAGGAACGCCUGUGGCGAAGGCGGCCAUCUGGAAGAUUACUGACGCUGAGACGCGAAAGCGUGGGGAGCA
rnacentral:rRNA from 1 species